GCCUACGGGAGGCAGCAGUAAGGGAUAUUGGUCAAUGGGGGAAACCCUGAACCAGCAACGCCGCGUGAGGGAAGACGGUUUUCGGAUUGUAAACCUCUGUCCUCUGUGAAGAUGAUGACGGUAGCAGAGGAGGAAGCUCCGGCUAACUACGUGCCAGCAGCCGCGGUAAUACGUAGGGAGCGAGCGUUAUCCGGAAUUAUUGGGUGUAAAGGGUGCGUAGACGGGAAAACAAGUUAGUUGUGAAAUCCCUCGGCUUAACUGAGGAACUGCAACUAAAACUAUUUUUCUUGAGUGCAGGAGAGGUA
rnacentral:rRNA from 1 species